UACGGAGGAUGCGAGCGUUAUCCGGAUUUAUUGGGUUUAAAGGGUGCGUAGGCGGACGCUUAAGUCAGCGGUAAAAUUGCGGGGCACAACCUCGUCGAGCCGUUGAAACUGGGUGCCUUGAGUGGGCGAGAAGUACGCGGAAUGCGUGGUGUAGCGGUGAAAUGCAUAGAUAUCACGCAGAACUCCGAUUGCGAAGGCAGCGUACCGGCGCCCAACUGACGCUGAAGCACGAAGGCGUGGGUAUCGAACAGG
rnacentral:rRNA from 1 species